GGUGGCUCAGUGGUAGAGUGCUUGCCUUGCAUGCAUGAGGUUCUGGGUUCCAUUCCUCAGCACCA
rfam:Dipodomys ordii contig_54519, whole genome shotgun sequence.